GAACGGAAUCCCUCACGACGUUGUAAAACGACGUCACGCAUGAACGUAAUGCUCAUAACUUCCCUCUAGACCUAGCUACUAUUGAAGCUCCAUCUACAAAUGGGUAAUAUUUUUGUUUUUGUGGAGACGAGUUUUUGAAAAUUUGAAAAUAACGGAUCCAUACCGACCCCUCAAGGGGUUGGUAUGGAUCCGUUAGUAAGUCGAUUUUUUUAUUUUUUUAGUAGUUUUUUUUUAUUUCUUUUCGUUGAUUUAGUAUGAUCCAUUUGGUAUGUACUAAUAUUACUAAUAAGUUAUUACUAAUAAAUUUCUAAUAGAUAAAAAUUUGGUAAUAUUCGAUAAUAUUACCAGUAUUCUAAAUUAAUUUAAUAGGAAAGAAAAAAUAGGAAAGAAAAAGGUUUUCUUUUUUUAUUUUUCGAUCUUUUUUUGUAUCUUAAUAACUAAGAUAAUAAGAUGAGAUAAAAAAAGAAUAAUCAAUGCUUCAAAAUUAUUGCGAUCUUUGUAGUUCAUAUUUUUGUAAAUAUCCGAGGGCGGAUGUAGCCAAGUGGAUCAAGGCAGUGGAUUGUGAAUCCACCAUGCGCGCCUGUGU
rnacentral:misc_RNA from 1 species